rnacentral:rRNA from 1 species
ACGGGUGAGUAACACGUAGGCAACCUGCCCUCAAGCUUGGGACAGCUACCGGAAACGGUAGCUAAUACCGAAUACUUGUUUUCUUCGCCUGAAGAGAACUGGAAAGACGGAGCAAUCUGUCACUUGGGGAUGGGCCUGCGGCGCAUUAGCUAGUUGGUGAGGUAACGGCUCACCAAGGCGACGAUGCGUAGCCGACCUGAGAGGGUGAUCGGCCACACUGGGACUGAGACACGGCCCAGACUCCUACGGGAGGCAGCAGUAGGGAAUCUUCCGCAAUGGGCGAAAGCCUGACGGAGCAAUGCCGCGUGAGUGAUGAAGGUUUUCGGAUCGUAAAGCUCUGUUGCCAGGGAAGAACGCUUGGGAGAGUAACUGCUCUCAAGGUGACGGUACCUGAGAAGAAAGCCCCGGCUAACUACGUGCCAGCAGCCGCGGUAAUACGUAGGGGGCAAGCGUUGUCCGGAAUUAUUGGGCGUAAAGCGCGCGCAGGCGGUCAUGUAAGUCUGGUGUUUAAUCCCGGGGCUCAACCCCGGAUCGCACUGGAAACUGCGUGACUUGAGUGCAGAAGAGGAGAGUGGA